GCUCCUUUAGCUCAAUGGCAGAGCAUCUCCCUCACACGGGGAAGGUUCAUGGUUCGAAUCCAUGAGGGGGCA
rnacentral:tRNA from 1 species